UUGUCUUCCUGCAUCUCAGCAGCAAGGUCCACUCACAGUUGCUCCCACCAUUAUGAGGCCAGCUUACAUGUACAGAGAGCCAGGGACAGAUAACCAGGGACAGCUGAGACAACCAGAGACUAAUGUGCUCACAAUUCCCGAUAACGUGCUCCAGAACCUGCGUCCUGUUGGAGUACUGAACGGUGUACCGAUGUAUGAUUAUGCCACUCCUGCUCCUCCACCUAACACCUCCGCUCCAAA